ACCUCCCACCCGUGUUUAUUGUACCUUGUUGCUUCGGCGGGCCCGCCUUUAUGGCCGCCGGGGGGCUUACGCUCCCGGGCCCGCGCCCGCCGAAGACACCCUCGAACUCUGUCUGAAGAUUGUAGUCUGAGUGGAAUUAUAAAUUAUUUAAAACUUUCAACAACGGAUCUCUUGGUUCCGGCAUCGAUGAAGAACGCAGCGAAAUGCGAUACGUAAUGUGAAUUGCAGAAUUCAGUGAAUCAUCGAGUCUUUGAACGCACAUUGCGCCCCCUGGUAUUCCGGGGGGCAUGCCUGUCCGAGCGUCAUUGCUGCCCUCAAGCACGGCUUGUGUGUUGGGCCCCGUCCUCCGAUCCCGGGGGACGGGCCCGAAAGGCAGCGGCGGCACCGCGUCCGGUCCUCGAGCGUAUGGGGCUUUGUCACCCGCUCUGUAGGCCCGGCCGGCGCUUGCCGAUCAACCACAUUUUCCA
rnacentral:rRNA from 1 species